CAUCUAAUUGUGACGAAAAGUUUGGCGGACAAGGAUGGGGAUGCGUCCGAUUAGGUAGUCGGCGAGGUAACGGCCCACCGAGCCAUCGAUCGGUAGGGGUUCUGAGAGGAAGGUCCCCCACAUUGGAACUGAGACACGGUCCAAACUCCUACGGGAGGCAGCAGUGAGGAAUAUUGGUCAAUGGGCGAGAGCCUGAACCAGCCAAGUAGCGUGCAGGAAGACGGCCCUAUGGGUUGCAAACUGCUUUUAUGCGGGGAUAAAGUGUGGGACGUGUCCCUUUUUGCAGGUACCGCAUGAAUAAGGACCGGCUAAUUCCGUGCCAGCAGCCGCGGUAAUACGGAAGGUCCGGGCGUUAUCCGGAUUUAUUGGGUUUAAAGGGAGCGUAGGCCGUCUUUUAAGCGUGUUGUGAAAUGCCGCGGCUCAACCGUGGCACUGCAGCGCGAACUGGAUGACUUGAGUGCGCAGGAGGUAGGCGGAAUUCGUGGUGUAGCGGUGAAAUGCUUAGAUAUCACGAAGAACCCCGAUUGCGAAGGCAGCUUACCGUAGCGUUACUGACGCUGAAGCUCGAAAGUGCGGGUAUCGAACAGGAUUAGAUACCCUGGUAGUCCGCACGGUAAACGAUGGAUGCCCGCUGUUCCGGCAUUUAGCUGGAGUGGCCAAGCGAAAGCGU
rnacentral:rRNA from 1 species